rnacentral:rRNA from 1 species
UGGGGAAUAUUGCACAAUGGGCGCAAGCCUGAUGCAGCCAUGCCGCGUGUGUGAAGAAGGCCUUCGGGUUGUAAAGCACUUUCAGCGGGGAGGAAGGCGUUAAGGUUAAUAACCUUGGCGAUUGACGUUACCCGCAGAAGAAGCACCGGCUAACUCCGUGCCAGCAGCCGCGGUAAUACGGAGGGUGCAAGCGUUAAUCGGAAUUACUGGGCGUAAAGCGCACGCAGGCGGUUGAUUGAGUCAGAUGUGAAAUCCCCGGGCUUAACCCGGGAAUUGCAUCUGAUAAUGGUCAGCUAGAGGCUUGUAGAGGGGGGUAGAAUUCCAUGUGUAGCGGUGAAAUGCGUAGAGAUGUGGAGGAAUACCGGUGGCGAAGGCGGCCCCCUGGACAAAGACUGACGCUCAGGUGCGAAAGCGUGUGGAGCAAACAGG